CUCGAGAGGACACUGCCCACAUUGCAGGCAUGCCUGUCCCUGCCCUUCACACCCCCAUCAUGAUUCAUGAUGACUGCUUGGGGAGGGCCUGACACCUCAAAAGGCCAAGAGUGCAUACAGAUCCAGUCUUCAUCCAGACCUGAAAAGACCCAGGCUCCAGCUGCUGGCCUCCUGCUGCCCCUCAGGCCACCUGCACAGGAAAUUCCAGGGGUGGGUUGGUCCCACUGCCAGUGCCGUGGCCUACAGUGCUAGGCAGCCCCUCAGUCAGCUAGACAAAGUUCUCCAUGAAUCCUUCCCAGAAAGUCCUGUUCCAGCCUGGGACAACGUCCCCAUGGACCCUCAUGGCACUCCUGGCUUGUCAUAUCAGCUAUGUUACCUUCCUACUCCCCGUGGUCAUCAUUACGUUGGGGCAUUGACUCACAGCCUUACCACCAUGCUCCCAGUACACAGCUCAGCACCCAGUACAAUCCAUACCUCCAACUUGGGUGGAGCUCCCAUGCCAGGCCACCUCUCGCCCACCACCCUAAUCUGGGUAGGCAACUAGAGCGAGCAGGGGCAAGGACCUCUGCAGCAGCCCAUACCCGCCCUGGCCUGACCCUGCACCCACUGGCAGCACAGUCAACACAGCAGGUUGGCUCACAGCAGAAGGCAAAGGCCAUCAUCAGCUCCCUUUAUAAGGGAACGGUCAUGCACUGGGUGUGCUGAGAGUGUCCUGCCUGGUCCUCUGUGCCUGGUGGGGUGGAGGUGCCAGGUGUGUCCAGAGGAGCCCAAUGGGCAGUGAGGCAGCCAUGGGGCUGGAUGCACUGGUGCCCCUGGCAGUGACAGUGGCCAUCUUCCUGCUCCUGGUGGACCUGAUGCACCGGCACCAACGCUGGACUGCACGCUACCCGCCAGGCCCCCUGCCACUGCCCGGGCUGGGCAACUUGCUGCAUGUGGAC
rnacentral:lncRNA from 1 species